rnacentral:rRNA from 1 species
UUGGAGGGCAAGUCUGGUGCCAGCAGCCGCGGUAAUUCCAGCUCCAAUAGCGUAUAUUAAAGUUGUUGCAGUUAAAAAGCUCGUAGUUGAACUUCGGGGUUUACCCAUUGGUCAGGCUUAAUUGUCUGUACUGGUGAGAUAAAUCUCUACCUUCUGAGGAACUUUCAUGUCAUUAAUUUGGUGUGAUUGGAAAUCAGGACUGUUACUUUGAAAAAAUUAGAGUGUUUAAAGCAGGCUAACGUCUGAAUACAUUAGCAUGGAAUAAUGAAAUAGGACGGACUGAUUCUAUUUCGUUGGUUUCUAGGAUCACCGUAAUGAUUAAUAGGGAUAGUUGGGGGCAUUAGUAUUCAAUUGUCAGAGGUGAAAUUCUUGGAUUUAUUGAAGACUAACUACUGCGAAAGCAUUUGCCAAGGAUGUUUUCAUUAAUCAAGAACGAAAGUUAGGGGAUCGAAGACGAUCAGAUACCGUCGUAGUCUUAACCAUAAACUAUGCCGACUAGGGAUCGGACGAAGUUAAUUUUAUAAUGACGCGUUCGGCGCCUUACGGGAAAA